CUGAUAUGGAGGGAGAGGGGCAGAUUCUGGACUCUCAGGGGCCGUCUGCCACGUCAAAGGCUGUGUGGCCAUGCAGGUCUUCGCUUACCUGAAGGCUCUAGGGAUGACUCAUGGGAACCAGAUUGGUGCUGGCCUGGAAAGACCCAAGCGGGGAUGUGAUAUCGGAGACAGGGCUGGAUCACUGUGAAUAACGGCACCAUCCCCACCCAGCCUGACAGUAACCAAUCAGAGGAUUUUGCCCUCUUCUCAGCCUGGACACAGGAGAGGAGACAGAGGGAGCAGCUAAACCCUAAUCCAAGGAGAAAUGACCCCAGUCCUGGCCAGGUCCUCAUCUGAGAAGAACAUGCCCUUGGCCUCAAAGAACACUUCCUGUGUGGACAACUAUGAAGAAAAAUGGCGUGUCUCGGCUGGAAGAAACCGGCUACUUUCGUCUGUCCACGGCUGACUCCAUGACCUUGCUCAUGAGGCAAAGCACCGUCCUCAGCGCCUGCAUGUGUGUUUGGCCUGGCAUCCACCUGUUCUGACAGAGCACCCAGAUACUUCAGGAAUGAAGUCCUGGCCAGCCCUGCCUGACCCUGACUGCUGCUGCUCUUGCCUGAGGGUUGGGGCCGUAUCUCAGCAGUACCAGUCAAGGCCCUGACUCCUUACCUCCACAGAGAGCCAUCAUCUGGGGUCUGAACUCACUCUGGCUAGGGACCUUGCUUCCAGAAUCUUCUGUUAAUUCCCCUUCGAAUGUAGCCUGUCUUCACUUUUCAAAGUAUCGUUUAGGAUUAAAAGCUGACCCGAGUUGGCUGUGGCAGCGCGUGCCGAAAAUCCUGACACUCGGUAUCUCAAAGCAGGAGGUUCCAGCCUGAGCUACGCAGUCAGGUACUACCUUAGAGUAAAGUCUUAAAAGACCUGGGGGUGUGCCUCCGUGGCAGGGUACAGGCCUGCAGUGUACAAGGCCCUGGGUUCUUUGGCGAGGUGGGGGGAAUCAACCAGAUUCUCUGCUUUGUCUCCCCAAACAUCUGAGACUCUGCAGCAAGGAUGUGUAGGGUACCAGUCCUGGAUUUGGAGGCCCAUCCCCCACUCCCGGUUGGCCCGCCCACCUGACAAAGAGGUCAUUGGCUCUCUGAAUGGUUCCCCUGUGUAGCAUUGUACCAAUGAGUCUGGCAGGCCCUCCCUUAUAACCCUUCAUGCCCUUCAUCAUCCCCUGAAGGCCUAGCUCCACCCUCUGAAGACCCACCCCCUGAAGGCCUAGCUCCACCCCCUGAAGGCCUAGCUCCACCCCCUGAAGGCCUAGCUCCACUCCCUGAAGGCCUAGCUCCACCCCCUGAAGGCCUAGCUCCACUCCCUGAAGGCCUAGCUCCACUCCCUGAAGGCCUAGCUCCACACCCUGAAGGCCUAGCUCCACUCCCUGAAGGCCUAGCUCCACCCUCUGAAGACCCACCCCUGAAGGCCUAGCUCCACCCCCUGAAGGCCUAGCUCCACACUCUGAAGACCCACCCCCUGAAGGCCUAGCUCCACUCCCUGAAGGCCUAGCUCCACACCCUGAAGGCCUAGCUCCACCCUCUGAAGACCUAGCUCCACCCCCUGAAGACCUAGCUCCACCCCCUGAAGGCCUAGCUCCACACUCUGAAGACCCACCCCUGAAGGCCUAGCUCCACUCCCUGAAGGCCUAGCUCCACCCCCUGAAGGCCUAGCUCCACCCCCUGAAGGCCUAGCUCCACCCCCGGGGGGUCCCACCCCAGCCCCACCCCAAGCCUGCACUGAGUACUGCAGCUUUGUUCCGAUAGCCUUUCCGGGACAAGAAAACCUUCCCCCUGCCCUCUGGCCCCCUACUCCAUUAACUGUUUCACAGACCCAGGUGCCAGGCAUCUUCCCAACUCCAGGCCUUCAGAAAUCGAGAAGGCUAUUUGAUCUACCCACCAGUUGAACUCUAAUGCCUUCCUCUGGAUCUAACCUUGAAGGCCUCUCCUCUCCUGAAAGUCUUCACCUGCCCCCAGAACAGUUGGCCAUUGCCCCGUGAGAGGGGCAUCACUGAAUCCGAGGGGUCCAGGCUGCUAGAAAAGAUGAGACCAUCAACGAACAGGCUAAGCCCAGCACUGGUGUGCCUCUGUCAUCUCCACACUGAGGAGAUGGAGGCUAGUGACCUUGAGUUCAAGGUCAUCCCCAACUGUGUAGCAAGUGGACACUAGUGGUCAGCCACUUCAGGACUGUGGCUAGGGAUGGGACGUGGCCUGCCUCAAACAGCUAAGAAAGUGUUUAGGUGAGGAAGUUAGUGUGAGCUGACGAGGCUGAGGAGGUCAUGGAUCCAUAGCCACCACCUGCCGCUCUUAGACUCCAGCCUCCUCAGUCCCUCACACCAGCAUUCUCUAGGGAGUGCCCAGGUCGGAUCUGCUCAGGCUGUCUCCUGGUUCUGUUGCCAGGACUGAGUUCUCUGCCUCUCCAGAAUCCAGGUAGUCACUAUCGAAUUACCCAGCCCCUCUGGUGUAAGUUAAUCCAGUGCAUCUCUUACUAAAGAAAAGUUUUACUAGCAUAUGUUAAUUAUAAUAAUGAGUUUCGUUUUGAUAUCUCAUACAUGUAUAUACUGUCUGUUGAUGACUUUCACCUCCUGAUGUCCUCUCUGCUCCCAUGUCCACUGACUGGGUCUCUUCCUCUUCUCAGCUAGUGCUCUCUCUCUCUCUCUCUCUCUCUCUCUCUGACUCUUUGUCUCUCUUUCUUUCUUUAUUUCUUUUUCUUUAAUCAAAACCACUGAGUUUUAUUGGAGUUGUUUGCAGGAGCAUAAACGGCUCACCAACGGCUAUGCUGCUUGUGCUGACUACAUUUAUGUCGAACUUGACACAAGCUAUAGUCAUCCAAGAGGAGGAAACCUUGUCUGAGAAAAUGCUUCCAUAUGCCUGGGCUGUGAGCAAGCCUUUAGGGCACUUUCAUAAUUAUUGCUUGAUGGAGGAGGACCCAGCCCAUUGUAGGCAGGGUCAUCCCUGGGCUGGUGGUCCUGGGUUGUAUAGGAAAGCAGGCUGAGCAAGCCAUGGGGAGCAAGCCAGUAAGCAGCAUCUAUCAUGGCGUCUGUAUCAGCUCCUGCCUCCAGGUUCCUGCCCUGUGUGAGUUCCUGUCCUGACUUCCUUCAGUUACGGACUACUAUGUGGAUUUUUUAACCCAGUAAACAAAUGCUUUUCUACCCAA
rnacentral:sRNA from 1 species